rnacentral:rRNA from 1 species
CCUACGGGUGGCAGCAGUGAGGAAUAUUGGUCAAUGGGCGCGAGCCUGAACCAGCCAAGUCGCGUGAAGGAUGACUGCCCUACGGGUUGUAAACUUCUUUUGUAAAGGAAUACAGUGAGUCACGUGUGCCUUUUUGUAUGUACUUUAUGAAUAAGGAUCGGCUAACUCCGUUCCAGCAGCCGCGGUACUACGGAGGCUCCGAGCGUUAUCCGGAUUUAUUGGGUUUAAAGGGAGCGUAGAUGGGUUGUUAAGUCAGUUGUGAAAGUUUGCGGCUCAACCGUAAAAUUGCAAUUGAUACUGGCAGACUUGAGGACAGUUGAGGUUGGUGGAAUUCGAGGUGUAGCGGGGAAAUGCUUAGAUAUCACGAAGAACUCCGAUUGCGAAGGCAGCUUACUAAAC